UUGCUUCUGCAGCACACAAAGUAAAAUGGGAAUGAACAGAGAAGAUUGACUUGGUCGCUGUGCAAGGAUGACAUACAAAUUUCUUAAGUAUUUAAUAUUUUA